AGCAAAGGGAGCCCAGACUACUACCCAUGAUCCAUAAAAACUGGGAACAAAACAUACAGAAGAAAGCACACCAAAUGUUUACAUAAAAUUGUAGCGCACACUGGGUCUCCUGAAGGACAUCACUGAGUCUUUCUGCGUCCAGACUCCUUACCCUAAGGGUGGGGAUUUCAGAGAUGGAAUAUGAGGAAGAUAAGGCAACAGCAAUAGAUUGGAGAAGUUUCUUUAAAACGAAGGAUUUACAGUCUGUGUUCUUCAAACAACUGCCUCGAGACAGAGCACAGGCAGCGCCUAAUCGGUCAGCCAGCCACCAGUUAAUAAAGCUUCCUCUUUCUGUUCGUUUGCUGCCCAGAACAAUCUGAGAAGCUGAGGAAGCUUGAGAAAAUUCUUAAAGAUAAUCAAAGAGUAAUUACAAUCAUCUUUGUUUCACCGAAAGUUUAAUUAAGAACAGCUAUAGAGAAAACAUAUGUUUCUUAUCCUUCAGUUGUUUUGUAAUCAGCAACAAAAAUGAGAAAGUAGCAACUCAGAAAAUAAAGGAAGCAGGAACAUUUGAAAGAAAGCAAUCUGAGGUGCAGAGGAAAAUCUUUGGUGCAUAAGCUGGAACACAAAAGCAAAAAUGAUGAAAAUUGAACAAUGUUAACAUUUUUAGGGGCCUUCUUUUUUCAUGGUCCACGAUUAUUUUUUUGAAUGUAUAUUGCUAAUUCACUGCUUAUUUAAAUGAUCUGAUUUUGACUACAAUACUGGUGUUUGUUGGUGUUCUUUAUAAAUCAAGGAAAUUAAACUUUUUUUUCCUGCCAUAUGUAUUGCAAUUUUUUCCCAAAAAAAUGUCAGUUGUGUUUUCUUUGUUGACAAUUCUCUUCACCAGACAGAAGUUUAUUUUAUUUAGAUGAAUGAUUUUUUUUUGGAUUCUCAUGGACAUUUUAUCAAUUCUGGGUUCAAGAACUCUUUAUAAGUCUCUGCUUGCUCUAAAACAAUAAAUAAAGUUAUUGUUUUCUU
rnacentral:lncRNA from 1 species